GAGACUAACAAAACAAUAUUAGAGUAAUAAAUAAGGACAAUAAAACAAUAAGAAAUAAACCAAGUCAGCUAGUAACCUCAACUAAUAACCAUGAGCAAUUAAAGCAAUAGUAACAAUAAGCAGAAUAGUAUAAAUCACAGGAAAAUAUCACUCUGACCUGUGCCUUUGGCUGGAAGCAGCAAAGAAAGAGGAAAUGGGAAGCCUGUCAGAG